AUUUUCUUAUUUAAAUCCCUCUAAUUAUCUACAUACCUGCUCUCUUUUUUUUUAUUUUUUUUUUAUCUACAUGCCUGCUCUCUCUUUUUUCUCUUUUGAUAUAUAUAUAUAUAUAUAGAGAGAGAGAGAGAGAGAGAGAGUGGCCUGGUAUGCUUCUGGAAGCACGGAGCCCGCCGUGCUUCCAAGUUGUUUUCGAUGUUUGGAUUUUCGAAUCGAUGAUCGGCUCUGUUAGAGUUGAUUUAGAGUAUUUAAAGUACCUAGAAAAUAAAUUUUGUGAUUUUUCGAUAUCAUUUGUCCAGUGAUCGAAGGGUUCAAAAUCAAUAAUUUUAAUGGCCGUGGUGAGCCGUUUGCAAGUUUAACGGUGUAGAAAUAUCCAAAUCACAUGAAAUUUUGAUAGAAAAUUUUUUAUACCAUAUAAAACAAGAUCAAUAAUUUUGAUAUAAAAUUUUAAUGUCAUAUCAUCAUAUUUUGUAAGAUUUUUAUUUUUAGUCGUUGAUUUUGAGCCACUUCGAUUACUAGGCAAAUGAUAUCGAAAAAUUAUAAAAUUUAUUUUCUAAAUACUUCAAAUACUCUAGAUCAAGUCUAACGGAGCCGAUCGUGGAUUCGAAAGCCUGAAAAUCGAAAAUAACUUGGAAGCCGUGCUUUCGGAAGCAUACCAG
rnacentral:lncRNA from 1 species